GCCGGUGUAGCUCAGUUGGUAGAGCAACGCACUCGUAAUGCGUAGGUCGGUGGUUCGAGUCCACUCACCGGCA
rnacentral:tRNA from 3 species